UUUUCCCCUAGAGGUGUUGUAGGUGUGGCUGCAGUGUCACAUGUGCAUCAGUAUAUGGAAGAGAGGAGAGAGACUAUGUCUAUGUUUAGUGUUCAGUCCUAUGAAAAUCUGAAUGCUUGGUAGCCUAACAUA